UCAUCGUCCACGUAUUUUGCUAAAAUAAUUUGUUUCAAAGAUUGAUUUCAAACUUGUAUAAACGUGAAAAUAAAGUUGGUUUCAUGGGCUUGUUAAAUAAUGUGUAUGAUAUUAUGAACACGUAAGUGAUUAUGGUGUAAUUGUGUAUGAAAGUGUUUGUUUACAUCUCUGCUGGAUUCUAAAAAAUCAAGGUAUAAGGCCUCAGCCUCGAACUUAGCGGGCAGCGGGGCGGCGGCGGCGGCGGCGCGGGAGCGGGGCGGGCAACGCAGACCCGUUCUCGAAACCAGCGGGCAGCUCGCGCGGCGCUUUAGCGGCGAAGUGUUGUGUUCGGGGUUGUGUUGUCGAGAUAUUUGUUUUUAUUCGCGAACGAAAUGUCUGAACAACGGCGACAAUUUUAUUUCGAUUCAAAUUUAUUCCUUACGCUGACUUCCUUACGUGAAAAAUACAAAGAAUAUUUUGUAAAUAAUCGCAUUAGUUACUAAUUAAUAUGUGUAACAUAAUAAACAAUUGACUUAUUAAAUCAUUUUAUAUUUACCUUCAAUAUUAA